rnacentral:rRNA from 1 species
GACGUAGGGCGCGAGCGUUGUCCGGAUUUAUUGGGCGUAAAGAGCUCGUAGGCGGCUUGUUGCGUCGACCGUGAAAACUUGGGGCUUAACCUUAAGCUUGCGGUUGAUACGGGCAGGCUAGAGUUCGGUAGGGGAGACUGGAAUUCCUGGUGUAGCGGUGAAAUGCGCAGAUAUCAGGAGGAACACCGAUGGCGAAGGCAGCUCACUGGGACGGUACUGACGCUGAGACGCGAAAGCGUGGGGAGCAAACAGG